rnacentral:rRNA from 1 species
AUUGAACGCUGGCGGCAGGCCUAACACAUGCAAGUCGAACGAGUGGCAGACGGGUGAGUAAUGUCUGGGAAACUGCCUGAUGGAGGGGGUUAACUACUGGAAACGGUCGCUAAUCCCGCAUACCAUCAGAUGUGCCCAGAUGGGAAUAGCUAGUUGGUGGGGUAAAGGUCUACCAAGGCGACGAUCCCUAGCUGGUCUGAGAGGAUGAACAGUCACACAGGAACGGAGGAACGGUCCAGGCUCCGACGGGAGGCAGUAGUGGGGAAUAUUGGACAAUGGGCGAAAGCCUGAUGCAGCCAUGCCGCGUGUGUGAAGAAGGUCUUCGGAUUAUAAAGCACUUUAAGGUGGGAGUCGUUACCCACAGAAUAAGCACCGGCUAACUACGUGCCAGCUGCCGCGGUAAUUC